GCGGUGCACGGGAGCGCUUCUGACAACGUGGCUGUGCCCUGCGGGAGAGGCUGCUUACCUGCUGUGCGUGGCGAUGUGCCCGAAGCCGUGCGCAUGCCUCGUGCUGCCUGCGGCACCAAACACACACGGCCGCAGUUCCGCCGAUUGGCCACGCGGGGGCAGCAGAGACGGCGGAAACAACCCCGAGCGGACUGAUGCGGAUCCGCACGGCCGUCCCCGGCGAUCCGUUCUUUCUUUCGAUGGCAGAAGAAAAACGCAGUUAGGAGAGGAAGGAGGGGAGAAGGGGAGACAACGAAGAAAACCAAGAAAAACUUCGACAAACCCACCAAACCCAUGCUAAGUGCUUCUGAUGUGGAAAUUUAUGUGGAAAUAAAUAAAUAACCAGCAAAUUGCUGUUGUGCAUUUUUUUUAAUUAUUAUUAUUCCUUUUUUUUCAGCCAGCAUCGGAGGUGAUGAAAAAACAUGGUACCAAUUAGACAGAUGUGUGCAGCAAAGCCAAGGAUAGCUUGGAACAAUUAAUCAGAGCAACGCAAAACAGCCGAGCAGCUCUUAGAAGGAACAUCGCAGUAACAGCCUCCAUACCCGACCUCACCACCCUGAGAUGCCGCCCAGCUCACCCAAGGCUCAGAGAUAUCCACCGGAUGGGUUUCGAUAUUGAGUGAUUUGCUGUCAGUUCUCUCAUUCACAGCCGAUGCCAGGAUUGCCGCAGGGCGUUCUGACCGCGGGCACUGCAGCUGAACUGUCUCAGUAGCAGCGGGAUCCCCAGGCACAGGCUCAAGGAUUUCAGUCUACUUUUGACCCAAAUGAGGAAUUAAUAUGAAGCACGAGGUAUGUGUAAGUCAUCAUGAGGCACGGUGCUCAGCAUCACUUUUGGGAAACAGAUAAUGGAUUUGUCAUCAAAAUCAAAGGGAGUUCUACACAGGCAGAAGGAAAAGAACGGUCAUUUCUUUCAGUAUUUGAAGUAAGCAAGUAAGCAAUCCGUGACAGAAGCCAUUCCUAGGAUACUGCUAUGGGAAACAGCAGCAGAGAAGAAAGCAUCCACAUUUCCCUGAACUACGGCUGCAAGGAAAGAAAGAAGAAAAAUGCAUUUCUUGUAGACGUGACCUGUUAGAAGGCAAUCAACCCCUCACGCCUUAAAAGCAUUAAAGAAAAAAUACAAUGCACAGAGUGAUCUCCUCCAGCAAUACGUGUAUCUGGUCCAGGCAGCACAUGGCGCCACUCUGUGCCAUAAAGAAUGAAAGCCAUAAGCACCGAGCUCCAAAGCUCCAGCCAAACCAACCCAACGUGUCCAUGGACAGGCAGGAUCCUUAAGUAGGACAGUCAGUGAAAGCAUCCAACAAAGCAGCUGAUUCCCAGCCUUCUUGUUUCUUUCUGAACAUCCAGAGGUCUCCCUGUUGGCUUCACCUCUGACCUGUAAAGCCUGAGCUUGCAGUCCCUUGGAAGCCCUUGUAAGCAGAGAAUUGAGACUGGACUGGAUUUAGGAAGGCGUUGCAUCAGAUCAAAAUUAGUGCCUCCCUGAGGGAUAAAGCACAGGGCUAAAGAAAAACAGCUGAGUUCCUAGAGAACAAAGUUGAUUGGUCCAUACCUGAAGGAAGCAGAACAGAUGCCGAUGGGCUGCCAGCCUUUGUUCCCUCUUCUACUCGCUCAAAGCUUUCAAACCUCCCUUUUGCUUCUUGUACUGCUUAGAAAGUUUUUUGCUGUGAGAAAUGACAUCCUGCAAAGGACAGAGAGGGACAGAUCCCACGCUUAAGUAUUCCAAAACCAGCAAUACUGGAAACAGUUGCAGCUGAGAAGCCACUUUCUUGCAUGUGGAAAAGUCAGAGGCAAGGUAUGUCUGGGGCUGAUGAAGGGGAACAUCAUCUGUUAGAGCACCGAGUUCUCCAUGGCGUCCCUGAAUUCCUGACUUUGUUGAGAACCCCAGGACAAAUUGCUCCGAGCAGAGCUGGCAGCGUCCUGUAGAUGCUCGAAAAUGCCUCUCUUUCUAAACUGGGCUGUUUUCUAUUUUGCUGCCUCGCUGCCUCCCCGUACUCUGAGAACGAUGGCACUUUGCUGCCAGCAUCAGCCCAAGCGUUGGAGCCUCCUUCGGAACUGAACCUUACUGCCACAGGUCAAGCUGUGCGCCGCGCUAUUCAGGACCAAAGGAAAAGGUGACCAGAACUUCAGCUUGAAUGAAAAAGGGCACCGCUGCAUCAGUGAUACCAGACAGCAGGCCAAGCAGCAGCCAGUGCCAGAUAGGAUUAACAGCAGCGCGUCUGAACAGCUUCUGACAACACCUGGAAUUUCUUGUGCAGAAUAAAUCACGACAGAAGCCGACAUUAAGGGAUGAGGUAUCAGCCUGGGGUAGCCCACGUUGCUGAAUGUGUUGCAAACUGUGGUUCUGUUUCUCAGCAGCAGCAGCACUAUCAGGAAUUGAGUUUUCCUUCAGCCUCAGCAACUGUCUGCUCUUGGCACCACUUUACCAAUGUCAUCCUGACUGACCUUCAUAACUGCCCUGAUGUUAUACAUCAUGCUAGAAGUAUUUAUUGCAAACACAGAUUCAGUGCAUGUUGGUGUUAUUCUUUCAGCAAUACUCACUGGGGGUUUUGUCCUCUUCUCGUGCUUUGUUUGCUCAGAUAAAGGCUUGAAUUUUUACAGCGUCAUUUCUCCAGGACUGAAGAACAACAACAACAGCCAUUUCAGCUCCUUUAGGGAAGAGUAAUGAAUCCAUUGAACGGCUUCUUAUGUGGCCUCUGAAGCACCACAGGUGAUCUCUGUAACGCCUUCUGGUUUGAUACAGCCUGGUUACUAAUUGAAUCUGUAGGAAAGAAACCAAAAUAGGUCAGACAAAAGGCCUUUCCAUAGUUGUUGCUAUCCAAAAUGUUUACCAAAAACAAAACAAAUCAACAGGGAGCCUUUGCUACCUUCACUCCAGUCCUGGUGUGCUCGCAAGUAACCCAGUUUGAUAUGCCUUCCGCUGCUUAUAGCCACGGCACUGGGACCAAAAACAGAAGACAAAACCUUACUUUACUUUUCAAAUAAAAGAGAAGUCAUUACAAUUCUAA